rnacentral:lncRNA from 1 species
UCCCAAAGAAAAGUCGAGAUGUUCCAGCCCUUGCACCUCAAAAAUUCCCAUCCGUGUAGGUGGCGGCUUCCAAGUAAUAAAAGUGUGCAGCUUCUUGCUGAAAGAAAUAAAACCAUGCGUUAUCCAAUCAUCACCAGACCGUCAAUGCACCCAUGGAAACCGUGCCAUCACAUUUCUUCAUUCAUCCAUCAUCUAAAAAAAAAUAAACAUAGCUCCAGCCAAUUCCCUUCAAUGCCGAGAAUGAGAGCUCUCCUUUUAAAAAAAAACGUUGCAGCCUCAUAUGAAUAAGGUAAGUGACGGCUCCUCUCCUUNUGUUUCCUAGGAUCAAGUGUCUCAAAAAUUAGGGUGGGGACCAACCAACCCUAGGGUGCCAUGUGUCUAUUUUUUAUUAUUGGGCUCAACAANAAAUACCAAAAAUUGGCCCACAAUGUCAAAGUUUGUCUAAAAAUUCUAAACUACUAAAUUAAAAUACAACUAAUUCUAAAACGCUUAUGGAAGAGUCUUGAUUUAUUUUGUCUUCAUCCUAAU